rnacentral:rRNA from 1 species
UACGUAGGUCCCGAGCGUUGUCCGGAUUUAUUGGGCGUAAAGCGAGCGCAGGUGGUUUAUUAAGUCUGGUGUGAAAUCCCGUGGCUCAACCGCGGAACUGCAUUUGAAACUGUCAGUUUUGAGUACCGGAGAGGUCAUCGGAAUUCCUUGUGUAGCGGUGAAAUGCGUAGAUAUAAGGAAGAACACCAGUGGCGAAGGCGGAUGACUGGACGGCAACUGACGCUGAGGCUCGAAAGCGUGGGGAGCAAACAGG